rnacentral:rRNA from 1 species
GAUGAACGCUGGCGGCGUGCCUAAUACAUGCAAGUCGAGCGAACAGACGAGGAGCUUGCUCCUCUGACGUUAGCGGCGGACGGGUGAGUAACACGUGGAUAACCUACCUAUAAGACUGGGAUAACUUCGGGAAACCGGAGCUAAUACCGGAUAAUAUAUUGAACCGCAUGGUUCAAUAGUGAAUGACGGUUUUGCUGGCACUUAUAGAUGGUUCCGCGCCGCAUUAGCUAGUUGGUAAGGUAACGGCUUACCAAGGCAACGAUGCGUAGCCGACCUGAGAGGGUGAUCGGCCACAUUGGAACUGAGACACGGUCCAGACUCCUACGGGAGGCAGCAGUAGGGAAUCUGCCGCAAUGGGCGAAAGCCUGACGGAGCAACGCCGCGUGAGUGAUGAAGGUCUUCGGAUCGUAAAGCUCUGUUAUUAGGGAAAAACAAAUGUGUAAGUAACUAUGCACGUCUUGACGGUACCUAAUCAGAAAGCCACGGCUAACUACGUG